rnacentral:rRNA from 1 species
GAUUCGGGAUUGCAAUGAGCCGAAUUUACACCCCUUAGCGAGGAUCGAUUGGAGGGCAAGUCUGGUGCCAGCAGCCGCGGUAAUUCCAGCUCCAAUAGCGUAUAUUAAAGUUGUUGCAGUUAAAAAGCUCGUAGUUGGAUUUCUGGGAGGGUGCCAAUGUCCGUCGUCGUACGUGUUGCAGCGGCGCCCUUCCAUCCUUCUGUUAACGACUUUGGGCAUUCACUUGCCGGAGUCGGGCUCAGAUAUUUUACCUUGAGAAAAUUAGAGUGUUUCAGGCAGGCUAGGCCGGAAUACAUUAGCAUGGAAUAAUGGAAUAGGACUACGGUCUCUUUGUUGGUUUGAGGGACUGCAGUAAUGAUUAAUAGGGGUAGUUGGGGGCAUUAGUAUUUAAUUGUCAGAGGUGGAAUUCUCGGAUUUGUUAAAGACUAACUUAUGCGAAAGCAUUUGCCAAGGAUGUUUUCAUUAAUCAAGAACGAAAGUUAGGGGAUCAAAGACGAUCAGAUACCGUCCUAGUCUUAACCAUAAACUAUGCCGACUCGGGAUCGGGGGCGCGAACUAUCCGCCUUCGGC